GUGUUUGCUUCGUCAGCACAUGCACUAAAAUUUGAAUGAUACAGAGAAGAUUAGCAUGGCCCCUGAACAAGGAUGACAUGCAAAUUAAUGAAGUGUUCAAUAUUUUU
rnacentral:snRNA from 1 species